UUUUUUUUCCAACAGAUUGGUUUAUUUUGGGUUUCCCUCUCACUGCUUUUCAUGGUUUAUGGCUUUGCGUUCUUCUUCACUAGAGGCCUCUGCGUUCCUCGUUCUCUUUCGCCUUCUUCCUCUGCGUUCCUUGAAGCAACAGAUUUUAUCUUCCAUCAUCGUUCCUUUGAAGCAACAUAUAGAAAGUGACGAAAUCCAGUUCUGAAUUUGCGCGAAGAACCACAUUAGUUUUCAUAAUUUUGCUCUUAAAUUUGCUCUUAAAUUUGAUCGAAUUUGCUCUUAAAUUUGAUCGAAUUUGCUCUUAAAUUUCAUAAUUUUGCUGUUUAAGUUUUCAACCGAUUAUAAUGGAUUUUUGUUGUGUUUUUUUGAGUUCUAAAUUAGGGUUCUUAAUUAGGGAAUUCGGUUAAUUGGGGAAUUUGGAUGAUUGGGGAAUUUGGUUGAUUUUAUUCAUGGUGUUUUUGUUGAUUUCAAUGGUUAUUUUGGCUUAUUUAUUAAGUUUGGAUCAGUUGGUUGCUCGGUGAUGAUGCUAAAUUGGUUUUUUUUUUCUCGUUCUGCUCUGCGCUACCCUGUUCUAUACUGCUACUGUUAUACUACUGCUACUCGUUUUCAACUUGGAAAUAUAUGGAGGGAAUAUUAUUUCUGGGUUUAGAAAGAGUAAGGUUAGACAUCUGCAUUUCAAGCAGUAUUGUUGGAAACAAAUGUUAAUUUGAGCAUUGUGUACUGUGAUUUUGUUAAGUUCUAUAUUUCAUUGACCAUGGCCCUCGAAUUGAGGAAUGCUGAAAUUGAAACGACUGUUAGUUGCAUUGGUUCUUGCUGCAUUGUGCUGUAUCAUCGAGGCACGGGCGAUAGUGGCCUUAGAUUCUGUAAAAUUCUGAAAUGUCUAAUUUAUGAAAGUAUUGGAGUACGGAUUUGGGGCUUGGUAGUGUAGAAUUUAACAACAAGAACUUCGGAUUUGUGUACAUUUUAAUGUUUGUAAUAAAGAUUAUGGAGUUUUGGAUUGUUGUAUUCUAUUGAAGUGUUUGUGUGUUUGUGUGUUUGCUGAUUGUAGGUUGCAUCUUGUUGAACCAACUAAGUAUAAAGUUCUAUAUUCUUGUUUUGUCUGUCCUUGUUCAAAGGCUGCACCAACUUCUUGUGGCGUUGCUUCUAUGAAAUGCAGCCGCCAUGGAGGUAAACAUUGCAUUGUACACAUUGGAUGUGUUUGUGUCUCUACCUCUCUAUGUCAUACCCUAGUCAGUGCCAGGUUGCGGACUAUCCCAGUGUCCAGUAGUGAACUACUGCAACAUUCUUUGUUGCUUUUUGAAAUAAGCAAGACUUUUUGAAUGGUUUUCCAUGUCCAAUUCUUAGUAAUAUGAGUUCUUUUGAUGGUUAGGUUUCAAUUAUUCAUUUGAAUUGGUUUACUGGUAGAAUUUAGAUGGUUUUUCUCUAGAAAGUUGGGGUCUGGGUUUGUUUGUGCAGCGUUCCUAUGGGGCUUUGUUGUAGUUUGCAGUAGCUCUUUCAUAUAUUGAUGUUGAUGUUCUUGCAAAUCUGAUGCAAGUAUGGGAUUUGAUUCACAUGUGUCUUAUCAUUGAUUCCUGACUAUAUUUAUGUUAAGAUUUCUUUGAAAUACUGAGAGAGCUAACUUCUGUAGAAAUCAUCUUGUGCUUCAUUGGAGCUCAAAAUCUGAGGUUAAACCUGAGUCAAUUUAUACUUCAUUUUUUCCAAGAGAGAUUUAAUGAUAUUGUAGGUAUUAGCCGUCGAAAACGUCUUAAACAUGAUUAUUUGAGUAAGAAAUAUUGAUUUCGUGUCUUUAUUAAUAAAAGAUAAUCUUUUAUCUCUGUGGUGAAGGCUGCUAAUAUGCCUUUCACAUUGAAAAUAAAACUCUAUUUCGAUGUCAAACUCCUAUGCCGUCCUACCGAGUACGUACCGGCAGAUGAACUAGUAUGCUUUGGUUGUGCGUGAGCACCUAUAUUCUGCUCGUUUUUCUUGAUGCCAAAAAUGAGAAUUUAUUCUUAAGUUGUAUGUGUCCGACCUUCCGGCCAUUUUGAUGGUUCAGGGUAUCUAAAUUAUGCUUGUCCUAAUUUCUUUAUUAGGAUGAAUAGGAGGUUUGUGAAAUAAGACAUCUGAUAAGCAUAACUUCAGGACAGAAAAUAAAUUCUUGGUUGGACCAUACUGAUAAAGCUGGCUUGAUUGCAGUCUUUUCGAGUCUAUACGGAUUCUGUUCCGCUUCCACUCCUAACGUGCUCAUUCUUUCUGAAUUAGAGUAACAAUUAUCUUCACCUUUGGGACUUUGUUAUAUUCUGUCUCUAUCAAACGCUACUCCUGAAAGUAACAUCCUGAUAGUGAAUCAUUGAAAUAACGUGCAGAAUGUGUCAAAUGGAAGUUCUAUGUACAUGACUUUCUAAUACUUUUGGAUGAAUAGAAAAUCUUAACCAAAAGAUGAUUGAUUACUAUGAUUAUCACUUCAUAUGACAAUUACAGUAGCAAACAUAUUGGUGUCGCGAGCUUCUGAACUUGCAAAUCUGUAACUCUUUGAAUAGUAGGAGCUUCUGAAGUUGCUUCUUAGUAAGUGCACAGGAAGUCAGAAUACAGAGCGGCAAUAUUUUUUGUGAGAAAAUUGACAGCAUCGAAAGAAUUCCAGAAGAACCAAACUGAAUAAGAUCUGAAAAUGAUCAGAAGCUUGAAAGUAAAGUCCAUGAAAUCGUUGGACGCGUCAAUGGAAGAUUCGGGACAUUUACCUCUGUCCCUAUACAUCAUUUGGAUCACUCUCUUGACUUCCAUGCAUUAUGUGCACUAUAUGCUCUUACUGGCAGCUUAGGAAUGGCAUCCAUCCCUCCACAUAACACGCAUUGGUUCCUGUUCCAAAGAUCACAGCGAUCAUGACAUCAUACUAAAUUUGAACAUCCAAAAGCAACCAGAAUAGAGAAAACAAUAUCAGGAGUAACAUCUGGAUGACAUGUCACUACAUGAGUACUAAAUACACAAUUUUCUCAAACAAAUAAGUACCUAGAAGGAAGGACAACCUGAGGAAUCGAAGGGGUAUAUGAUGUUUCCCGUUCUGCCGCAAGACGUUGAGCCUUCUGGAAUUCCUUCAAAACUGCUUGGAAAUCUUUUACAAGUUUUGCGUCAACAAUCUUCUUGUUUGCCUGGAUAAAUGGAAGGAAGAUGAAAUCAAAUUUUGGCUCGGGAACGCAUUAAUACCCAAUUGAGUAAGGAUGAAACAAGUAUCAGAGGAUAUUAGUUCAAAAUGGAAUAAACAGUAAACACCACAUUGCAAAACAAGAAGCACUGGAGAGUCCUUAUGAGUUUUUAAAACAACCAGCCUUAUAAACCAUGUACAGACAACACAGAGUAUUACCCUAGGAAUUCAGUUUAAGAUAAACAAAGAAGGACGAUGAGCAUUGAAAGUGAAAUAAGUUACAAUCAACAAAAAGAUUUGGGAUAAGCACUGGAGAGUGGGAUAAAAUCUGUUGCAUCAGCAACAAAAUAUUGUAACUCAACCAUUUGAAUACCACGUGAAUGACUAGGAUUGGAAAAUUAACUCUUAAGUUUCCGUUAUGUAAAAAAAAAGAGAAAGAAUUCCCAAUGGCAGCAGUUCAUCUUUAAAGGAUCUUUGCAUAGAUCAGACCUAGCACAUUAUCACAACCUCAUGCAACUAAGAAAGUAGUUAAAUAGCCAAUUGAGUUCUAGGUCAAUUGCUCUAAAGAUGACCAAAAUUAUGAGAAGACGUCCAUCGACCAAUCAAACAGAAAUUCAACAGCAAGAUAGAGUGACCUAAUCACACAUGGUGAACAUCAUGGUUUCUAUAGCCUCGGCAAGAAUACAACCAACUUACUCCCAACACAAAAUACAUCACUAAAUCUAACCCAACCUAGCUCAUCCAAUCAAGUUAUCUCAUAAAACACAAAAGUUCAGGAACACUAAAGAAUCAAGUUAUCUCAUAAAUUCGUCUUGCAUAAGUAACAAGAUUUAUUCUUACAACCACAACCAUGACAUGGUCUACCAUAUCUCAAUGGAAAAGCACAUUAAUUAAAAAAGAAAGAGCUAAAUCCACACAAAUGACAAAAAGAACCAUAAAAGGUGACCUUUGAAGCAUCAGGAUUUGGAAACUCACCCUAGUAGAGAUCGGCGAGUUCUUCUUCUCCGUAGUUUUCAUUCUCCUUCGUUUGAGAUUUUUGUGUAAAAUCAAGAAAACCUACGAGUAAAAUUGAUACCAAAAAUCACAGAUCUGAUAAUAAAAGAAACCAUAAAACAAUUUAUGAUAACGACGAAAUCCAACCUUAACGCUAAGAGUUGCUCGUACAAUCUGCUACUGUACUAGUGUAAUACACCUCCAAAUCCCCCAAAGUAAGCAUAACUUAAUUAUGUACUUUUCAUUUAGAAAUUAUAGAAUAGCACAUACUACGUAGAGAUGUCAAAACUGACCCGACCUAAGAACCACAACUGAACCAACCUGUAUUCGUAACCCCGUAACUGACUUAUACCUGAAAUUUGGGUAAAACAAGAAACCCUUAACCUAAUCUGUACCCAACCCGAUAAAACUGACAACCGAUGUUGUGUGACCCAAACCCGAACUCGACAGAAAGAUGAUCGAUAAUCAAAUUGACCCGACCCGAAAGUGAUCCGAACCCGAUCAACACCUGACCCGCUACGAACCAGAAAACGAUUGUAACCCAAAACAUGUUGUUAUUGUUAUUACCCGACCUGUGAGGACUCAUUACCCGAUGUUCUACCAUAUGUGAAACAUGUAAAGUGUUAAACUAAAAUUAUCCUAAGCUUAAAACUUUUGUAAAUUCAAAUAAUUAAAAUUUUGAAUCAAUACUAUUGGUAGAUUUGGUGCACUAGUGCUUUUUGUUCUGACAGUAAACGAAGAAUUCUACAAGUAUUAUUGAAUUGGGGUAAGGAAGAAAUUGUGUCAUUGAGGUUGAGUCAUACCAAGCUCGUACCUGUUAGGAUGACAUCUCCUUCCAUAAGUGUCAUGAAAGAUCUGAUGUGGCUAAUCAGGAAUGGGAUUUCGAAUAUCAUGUCUUUUGUUGAUCCUUUCUGCUUCGAUUCUCCAUCAACCUUUUUUCAUAUAACUAAACUUGUUUACAUUUUUAUUAAUACAAUCACAAACAAGUACAUAGAAUGUAUUUAAUUACAGAGUUGAACUCACAUCAAACCACAGCUCCAAGUUAUGAGGAUCAGGCACUGCAGAUACAGGAAUCUGCACAAAAUUGACAAACCAAGGAUAGAUGAUCAGCCAUAUGCUUUCCUAGUUAUUUUUCGAAUUAGAUAUAUCUUACCAUUUCACUGAUAGAGGUAAACGUGUCGAGUCCUUUACCUAGUAGCCAUGGAAGGCCUGUUGCCUAACAGAAGGAAAGGAGAAAAUGUGAAACAAAAUGUCAGGGAAGUGUCUUUCACAUACUAUAGUUUUAAUGAUAAUGUUAUAAAUUGACUGUAUAGAUAACAGGAAUACUGAAAAAAUGGAAAGAUUUCUAUUUAAGCAAAGAAUCCACUUACAUUGUGACUAAUUGAUGUGUUUAAAUUAUACUCUGGUUUGGUCUCACAUUCCAUUCCAGACAAAAAGGUGAAGGACAUCUUUCACUGUGGAUUCACAUAACAAACGCAUCUGGAUCGGAUUUUAUUUAUUGAAAUAAACGGCUGCUGAGUUAGAAUAUGCUGCAGCAUUGCUAUUCCACGGUUAGCUUUGAAAUUUUCUCCGUGAACAAUGAAACUACUAAUCAAUGAUUCAGUGUACUAUUGGCUAUGCUCUGAUGGUUUGGUGUGUAUAAUUUUGUUGGUAUCCCUCCUAAAACACCUUCUGCAGCCCAUAUCAAUCGACACAACACCCCUUAUCCUGCACCCUCCCUCCUCUUUCGUGUAUCUCUCCCGUCUAUCUCCUUCUCAUCUCUCCCGUCUAUCUCCUUCUCAUCUUCCUCCUUCGGACCUUCCCCACCCUUACGGCCUUACCACCACAUGACUUCCCAUAGUCACACUGGAUGAAAACUAUCUCCUCCAAAAAGAUAAGAAAUUCAAGAUCCCAAACCAAUUUGACCACAAAUUCAACAAGAUCGACCUAAAUAACAUCAAAACAACAAAUCAAACCCUAAAAUGACCCGAAUCAGUUUAACAUAGGGUUUUCCACAUAUCAUGAAGAAGGAUUUCGACUUAGUUGUAGAUUUUUAUUUUUAUUGCAUUUUGUAAAUUAAUAGAACCCACCAGAUUUUCAUCAAAUUAACAACUAAAACGAAGAACAUUAAAUCACCAACAAUUCAGCAAUUAAAUUAGCGAAUCUUCAUAAAUCAUAAAUUCGAAGAAAACGAAGAGUUUAAAAACCGAAACCUUACCACAAUAGCCGAAGCGAACGUCGAGUGUAGUACGAGGUCGGUAUCCUUCUCUCUCUAUAGAUCGGCUUGAAAAUAUAACACAAAGUUGUAAGAGAUGAAAAUAUUCUACUCAUCUAGAUUAUGAGAGUUGGAAGAAACAGGAUUGAAGCACGAUUUAUCAAAAAACCCAUUGAACGAUUUGGAAGAAAGCGGUAUCAAGGAGAAUAGAGAGAUGGCGAAUUCUAGGGUUUGACAUGAAAUGGGCGGAGAGUUCUAGGGAGAACGAGGGAGCUAAAUUUUAGAUCUGAUGAAGGUUCAAACAACGCGUUUGUUUGGUUGGAGUUGCAAUUCAUGGCCAAUUCGCAGCGUGGGCUCACUGGGUGCGCUAAGAAUGCACCGUUGAUUUAUUUUUUUCCAAUAAUCGCAGCGUUUGAUAGCCCAUAAAAGUUUUAGUUAAAUCAUUUAACCUUUGACCCGCGUUGACCAUGACAUUUUGCAACAUUCGCAGAUUAGCUGAGUUGCAAGAGGAGAGUUGCAAAUGAUGUUUUUUCUACUAGUGUUCACUAGUAGAAAAACAUUUAUUAGCGGCUACGUCUUUACGACGUUAUUUUUCAUACGCCUCAAAAUAAUAUCGUGUAUUAGCAAUUAGGUGUAUAUGACCAUUAAUUGGCGGCGUUAGUUUUAAAGAAAACGCCUCAAACCAAUAUUAAGUAUUAAUCUGCGGCGUUACUUUCCUAAACGCCUAAAACCUGUUAGCUAGCUUUUGUUUGGGAAAACAAAACCUGGGUUUUAUAUUAUCUGAUUCAAUAUCCCUUCUUUCAUCUCCCAAACUCUCUUCUUCAAUACCUUUUCGCCACCCUCUUCACCCUCUUCACCCUCUUCACUCCCUUCGUCCAUCGUCCCCGCACCAGACAACCACCACCCUAUCUCCUCCAUUUCCCCCUUUCCCUCGCUGCAAAAGUACAAAAUCCUUCUUCUUCCUCCUCCAAACUUUGAACCUCCAAACUUUCUUCACCACCGUUUCUCGGCGGAAAAAAUGAACUUGAGAUUGAUCCCCACCGCUACCGUCUGCCCUUCAAUCUCAUCUCCACCACCGCCGUUCUUACUUAGGUCAAAACUUUCGUAGAAAGCCGAGCAAAUUUGAGAAGAAACUUGAGUUUAAUUCCGAAAUCAGGGAGACUAUUGCAACCUUAAGUGCUAAAAAGACAAUUCAAAAGGAUGUACUACACCAUGCUUUGAGCUACG